rnacentral:rRNA from 1 species
GACGGGACCCGCACAAGCGGUGGAUGAUGUGGUUAAUUCGAUGCAACGCGAAAACCUUACCCACCUUUGACAUGUACGGAAUCCUUUAGAGAUAGAGGAGUGCUCGAAAGAGAGCCGUAACACAGGUGCUGCAUGGCUGUCGUCAGCUCGUGUCGUGAGAUGUUGGGUUAAGUCCCGCAACGAGCGCAACCCUUGUCAUUAGUUGCUACAUUCAGUUGGGCACUCUAAUGAGACUGCCGGUGACAAACCGGAGGAAGGUGGGGAUGACGUCAAGUCCUCAUGGCCCUUAUAGGUGGGGCUACACACGUCAUACAAUGGAUGGUACAAAGGGUCGCCAACCCGCGAGGGGGAGCCAAUCCCAUAAAGCCAUUCGUAGUCCGGAUCGCAGUCUGCAACUCGACUGCGUGAAGUCGGAAUCGCUAGUAAUCGUGGAUCAGAAUGUCACGGUGAAUACGUUCCCGGGUCUU